UCCCAAAUGAACGCGCCAACCCCACACUUGGAGCCAGAAGAAAACAGGAAGAUUUGGUGGUGGUUUGCGUGUUUUUACGGGUGAAACACAUUCCGGAUCAGACACACUAGGAAUCGUUAUUGGAGCCGAAACUCCACGUCUAUAAAGGCGCUGAAAAGUUCCCGUAGCUUCGGCAGGUCUCCAGAGCGCCGUGGAACUGGAAGCUGAAAUUAUGAAGCCGGACGCUGAUGAACGCCUGUUUCCUCCAAGCAGCUCCAUCCGUCCGGGCUGUUAGCAGGUGAUGGCGCUCGGACCGGCGGCAAGGACAAGACGGGACAGCACGGGACAGACUCUGAGGCCCACCCGGGCCUCGUCUGGGCUCUGCCACUGAGGAGCCAGGAAGAGGAGCUCCAACUCUGGUCUCUUCAGUGGUCAAGUGAGGGGUCUGCAUCCUGUGGUCAGGAUUCCAUGGCGAUUGGAAUGAGUGCAGACUCCCCUGGCACCUGCCCGAGGCUGGGCAGUGCUCACUGCCCCAGGAAUGCCCUCCAGGCUGUGGGGUCCUCAAUGCCUCUAGUUAGAGCAGCGGUUCUCAACCUGUGGGUCGCGUCCCCUUUAGGGGUCGAACGACCCUUUCACAGGGGUCGCCUAAGACCAUCG